rnacentral:rRNA from 1 species
GUGCAGCAGGCGCGAAACCUCCGCAAUGCGGGAAACCGUGACGGGGCCACCCCGAGUGCCCCCUUACGGGGGCUUUUCCCCGCUGUAGGAAGGCGGGGGAAUAAGCGGGGGGCAAGUCUGGUGUCAGCCGCCGCGGUAAUACCAGCCCCGCGAGUGGUCGGGACGAUUAUUGGGCCUAAAGCGCCCGUAGCCGGCCCGGCAAGUCCCCUCCUAAAUUCCCGGGCUCAACCCGGGGACUGGAGGGGAUACUGCCGGGCUAGGGGGUGGGAGAGGCCGAGGGUACUCCCGGGGUAGGGGCGAAAUCCUAUAAUCCCGGGAGGACCACCAGUGGCGAAGGCGCUCGGCUGGAACACGCCCGACGGUGAGGGGCGAAAGCCGGGGGAGCGAACCGGAUUAGAUACCCGGGUAGCCCCGGCUGUAAACGAUGCGGGCUAGGUGUUGGGUGGGCUUAGAGCCCACCCAGUGCCGCAGGGAAGCCGUUAAGCCCGCCGCCUGGGGAGUACGGCCGCAAGGCUGAAACUCAAAGGAAUUGGCGGGGGAGCAC